AAACCCAUUUUUAUCAACUUCUAACAAUACUAGUAACUAGUAACAAAAGGAGCUGAAUACAUUGAAAUUAACAUUAAUAUAAACACAAAGUGCAUUUUCUAGAAUUGUCUCACUAAUUUCUGGUGUUGUUAAAAAUGAAAAUUAUAUAUCGUCUAAACUGACACACAAAAGACACAAAGGUUCUAAUGUAUUACAGUAACUCUCAACUCAAGAUCAAGAUUAUCAAUAUUUAUGCUUACAUGGGUUUAUUUUUUUGUUUUUAAGAAAGGUACUUCCAACUUUUUGGGUACAGAAUAUUGUCCUUACACAUGCCCCAUGCUACGGUACGUCGCUUCAGCAUGUGGACAAAUGUCCCUCAUGCCUAUUACAAUAACAGUUGAUGUGUUGGAUAUUUCAAAAAUAGUAGGCUGGUUUAUUCACCUUUUGUGGUUUCCCCUUACAUUUUUCCACACAUGUAAUGUUCGCUCCCUGCAAUACCUCUGUGCCCCUCCAGAGGACUCCACCCUACCGUUUGGGAACCACUGCUGUAAAUUAACCAGGGCAAUGUGUGUAUUAUCAAACCCUGAUCUAGGACUCAUUUGAACAGGCAGUGUGUGGUGAAUCAUAUACAUGUCCUAAGGAAGCAGUAGGCUAUUUACUGGUGAGUCCUGUCUGGAAGCUGGCGCAGUUUAUAUUCAAGAUAGAAGACUGUAUUACAGUUCUUUUAUGCAGUUAACCAGAAUAUAUUCUGGACAUUCUGGAUUUGUAUUACCACAGGAGUAAGGUUGAAAAGUUAAAUUGGUUUCACGUCACAUCUUCGAAGCUCCAUCAAUGUAAUUUAUGUUUUGUUAGCACUAAUCUAAAUGCUCUAAAAACAUGGUUGAUAAUGAAUAGUAAGAACCACCAAGAAUGUCAAAACUAAACAGAAAAGGCGCGUUAAGUACACAUCUGUGCAAACCUUCACAGGAUAUCACAAUCUGCAUUUGUGAUUUUUUUUUAACUAUGAGUUUGUAUUUGAUAUUGCUUUUCCACAGACAAUCAUGAGCAAGCAUACAGUACAUGAUGUUAAUAAUAUGCAGAAGGUUUUAUUGUGUUUUUCCAUGGCGGGUUUAAUGACCCUUUGUGUCUUCCUUUUAAAAAUGUCUUGGAUGUCAUUCUUGCCAUCCACCUACAGUGAUUCAACAUGUGUGUUGUAUUUUGUUGAAGUAAAUGUCAUGUUUUGUGUUGAAAUAAAGACUUUUCCAU